rnacentral:rRNA from 1 species
CUUGCUCUCUGGGUGACGAGCGGCGGACGGGUGAGUAAUGUCUGGGAAACUGCCUGAUGGAGGGGGAUAACUACUGGAAACGGUAGCUAAUACCGCAUGACCUCGCAAGAGCAAAGUGGGGGACCUUCGGGCCUCACGCCAUCGGAUGUGCCCAGAUGGGAUUAGCUAGUAGGUGGGGUAAUGGCUCACCUAGGCGACGAUCCCUAGCUGGUCUGAGAGGAUGACCAGCCACACUGGAACUGAGACACGGUCCAGACUCCUACGGGAGGCAGCAGUGGGGAAUAUUGCACAAUGGGCGCAAGCCUGAUGCAGCCAUGCCGCGUGUGUGAAGAAGGCCUUAGGGUUGUAAAGCACUUUCAGCGAGGAGGAAGGCGCUGUAGUUAAUAGCUGCAGCGAUUGACGUUACUCGCAGAAGAAGCACCGGCUAACUCCGUGCCAGCAGCCGCGGUAAUACGGAGGGUGCAAGCGUUAAUCGGAAUUACUGGGCGUAAAGCGCACGCAGGCGGUUUGUUAAGUCAGAUGUGAAAUCCCCGAGCUUAACUUGGGAACUGCAUUUGAAACUGGCAAGCUAGAGUCUUGUAGAGGGGGGUAGAAUUCCAGGUGUAGCGGUGAAAUGCGUAGAGAUCUGGAGGAAUACCGGUGGCGAAGGCGGCCCCCUGGACAAAGACUGACGCUCAGGUGCGAAAGCGUGG